rnacentral:rRNA from 1 species
UACGUAGGGGGCUAGCGUUGUCCGGAAUCAUUGGGCGUAAAGAGCGCGUAGGCGGCCAGACAAGUCCGGUGUGAAAGUCACAGGCUCAACCUGUGAAUGCCGCUGGAAACUGUCUGGCUAGAGUCCGGAAGGGGCGAGUGGAAUUCCUGGUGUAGCGGUGAAAUGCGCAGAUAUCAGGAAGAACACCGAUGGCGAAGGCAGUUCUCUGGGACGGUACUGACGCUGAGACGCGAAAGCGUGGGGAGCGAACAGG